rnacentral:lncRNA from 1 species
UGCAUUAAUUAUUUCUUACUUAAAUUCACUCUCAUUCAUUCUAACAAUGAGUCUUCUUCCUCCUUCCUCCAUGCAAGCAUCCAACAACACCAUGCAAAUUUCUAUACCCAUCACCCAAAGGAGAGGGAUUACUGUUCUACAACCCAAAACAAUACUCAGCGGAGGAAGAUCACCUCUUCCACAGACAUAUCAAUCCCCAACACCCAUUCAUAUGCUAUCAAAAUCAGAUCACAAAGGAGACACAGGAAAAGGCCCUAAAACAACGUAACUGCCACUACGCUACCAAUACUUGUUUCUGUAAUCAUAGACUGUAAAUGCAAUUAAUGAGGAAAUUUUUUGUUGCAGUAUUUUGUUUUCCUGUAUUCUAUAUUAGAACUAAUCAAUUGUUUAAGAUACACACUCUUGGCUGUUAAACAUGAUAACUUUGAAUGUUAUGAUGAAUUUGAUCUGUUAAGAAGUAGAUUACGCUUCAGAGAAAAACAAAACCAUCGACACCAUAAAUGCAGUGAAGAACUGGAGUAGAGGCUUUCAGAAUGGAAUGGAAUUGUUCCUGUUUGAAUAUGUAUAUAGGGGAAAACAUACGAAAAGUAUAGACAAUUAUAAUUUUUUUUGUUGUAGAUGGUUACAGAUAUCUGCUUAGUUAGGAAUACUAAUUUUAAUAUAUCCUGAAAGUUUCAUUCGUCAUCCUCUGAUAACUGUAGUUUGAUAUCAGUAUACGCAUAUUUUAUGUGUAGAUAGCAGUCAAAAGUUUUUACACUGUGAAAUGGCUCUGAUGUGUACAGAAAACUAGUAAAUUGAUAUUCAAAUUAUUAUAGAUGUACUAAAUAACGAAAGAUGUACGGAUAGACAUGGAUUAAAAACAUUUAAAAUUGAUAAUAAUAUAAUUAAAAACAUAAAGAUAAGCACCAAUUAAAAAAUUAAAUUAAUUAAUUAACUAAAAGUAUACACGUGAAUGUAUUAGUUCGAUAAAAUUAUAUACGUGAAAUUAUCUUAAUUUCGUAAAUAAAUAGAUAGAUCGGAAGUAAAAAUGUCAAUAUAUAUAGAAAUGUAUUUUGAAAACUAUUAACAAUUAAAGAAGAUAUAUUUGUAAUUAAACGUGUGUCUUACUUUAAAAUAAAUAGAUAUAUUUUAGUAUACAGAGGAAGACUUUGACUGAAGAACUUGAUAGCUAUAAUUUUAUUAACUUAAAAAAAGUGUCGUUAAAAGGAGACAAUAUAGCAUCUUGAGCAAUAGAAUUAUCUAUUCUCAUUGAAGAAGCAAGUGCAUCAUGUUAAUCCAUAAUAAAAUUACGCGUUCUAGACUUUGAGAUCUUCAAAAUCAGUCCCUUGCUUUUUCUACACAUGUUGUGGAAAGUAUAAAUUGUAUAUGUCCUUGGACAUAAAUAUUGUGAGGAUUCAUAAUAAAUAAUAAAAAUAAUCAAAAAGAAACAAGGAUUCAAUAAAAACUCUUCUAAAUGCUAAUAUCCUAACAAGGACUCAUCUUCCUAAGAAUUGUUUCUUGUUUCUCCUAAGUCUCUCUGACGAUGAAAUACUUUUAGAACAAUAAAUAACAACAAUUGUAAAUGUCUAUAUUGAAUAAUUAUAUAGCAUUUUGCCAACGCUUUACUAUUUUUAAUAGCACCAGCAUAAUACCAGCAUAAUCUAUUAUGAUAUAAUGACACAAGUUAUACGAUCAUUCAUACAAAUAUAAAUACAAACAAGUAAAAAUGAGCUAACUAGAAAACAAUACAAAAUAAUAAGUAAGAAUUGUAUUAACUCAUAUCCCUCAAAUAAUUCAUUCCAAUCCAUGAAAUCAUAAAACAUUAUGAAACACAACAACAAAUCAAUAUCAAAUGAUACUAAACAACAUCAUAGGAAAACACAUCACCACCAAGUGAUACGAAACAAACUCAUACUAAAAACACAUCUACUUACGCUAUACCAAACCAUAUGUCAUGCUCCUAUACUCUAUUGUACAAAACCUACUUAUCAAAAGAGGACAGUUGGAUUCGUCCUCCACCAUAGUUUAGGAAAUGUUUCUCUUGCUUCUCAAAAACUUACAAGUAAAAACUUUAAUCUAUCACACACUAAAUACUAUACUCAGCAACAAGCCAGAAAUCUAAGAGUGACGUAACACAUGAACCUCAUCUCCGCCACUGCUUCACAUAGACAAAGAAAAACCCCUUUUCCACUGUUUCACUUAGACAAAAGGUACAACUCCGAUUUUACAAGGUACAACAAUAAUAAGGCAUAACAACCAACAUGCCUUCCAACUUCACAUAGAUAACAUCACUUUACCACAAAAGCAUAAUCAAUCAUUCAAUACAUCAACCGUGUUUUAACCCACCAAGGCAAGCAUCACAACAUCUCGGAAUGUCAGAAAAGACUUGACAAUCAAGCCAAUAACUCUAAAAAUAUCAUACACAACAUGGACAUGCAGAAACAUAACUCAAAAACACAAAAAAAUAACUCAACAUGCAAACAUGACAACAACCUGACCAAUGCCUCAAACAACCUAAUAACCCUCAUUAAAGACUUGGUCAACAUCAAAACCCCUAAGCCAACCUCAAAAGCAUCCAUAACCGAGUUUCAGAACCCCCAAAUCGAUGUCCCAAACAACUCGAUUAGAAAUAGUUUUGCCAGAACAGCUCGACCAACACAAACCAGCCCGGCCAAAAGACAACCUAGUUUAACAUCUUGAAUAAGCACUAGAACAAAACAUAACCAUAUAAAACAUUCAAAAUAUACUAAACAAUGUGGCUAUUAAGGUACACAACACAAUUCUAGUGAAAAAGAAAGCAUCAUGGAAUCAAAAGUACCCAUCCCGGUUUUAUUACAAACAUCAUAACCAAGAGAAAAGAAUGUAGUUUUAUUAAAAAUACCUUGGUUGUAACACCCUAAUUUCAGGUGUCAUGAAAACGUAAUAAAUUCAAGAUUUUUCAAAAAAAAUUAAUAUGCCGACUUAAUUCUUGUAAUACAAAUUAUAAAAUAAUACAAUAAAGAGUCAUCAAAUGAAUCCAAUUUCAUAGUUAACUUUACAUGGCCAAAAAAAUUUUAUUCAAAACAAAAUUAACCAAAAUUUCAGCUUUUAAUCUUCCUCAUCCUCUCGUUACCUUUACCUAACAUUUAUAACAUCUGUAUCAUCAUCUACUCCAACAUAACACAUAUCUUAUACGAUUAUCAUAACAAACACAAACAAUACGGGGUGAACUAACAACAAUAACAUAGAAAUAAUAACACAUGCAACACAAUUAACAUAGUAAUAACUCUUCAAAUACCAAAUCAGGGACUAAAACACUAUUGCUCCUAACAACAUGCCCUUUGUGGUUUACUCAAUCAAUUACUAAAACAAGAUCACUCCAUAAACCAUGUUUUGGGUGGUCUACUCUUAACUUUUCAAAUAGCGCUAAUACCCCUAAUAUGGGUGAAGUCCUCUCAUGGUCGCAAUAGAACCUGCCUCUCCUAUUUCUCAAGGACUUACGAAACUUCAGUCAAUCUCACAUAGAACACCAUACUCAGCAACAAGUGAGAACUAUAGGAUGAAAUAUCUUUCUCAUCCUAUUGCCUCAUCUCAGUGUUAAAAAUCACCCAUGAUAACCUAGUCAAUGACGCACUCAAACCUUUGUUCUAGUCUUAUCCAAAAUCACGUAUAAUGAUCCAAACAAAACUACCAACAUCACAAUUAGCCAAUACAUAUAAGACAACAACAUAAAUUAUUUCGCCAAAGGGCAGUCCCAAAUCACCCCAAUACAACAUCAUAAUUUAACCAGUAUUUCUCGGUAGGUUCAGUGCAGUAACGAAAUGUUUAACGCAGAUAUAACUGUCCAUGUAUGGGAGAACAAGGAUUUCAAGCAUGCAUAGUAGAUAAAUAGUAAAAUACAGUCAGGCAGGUAGCAAAGCCCUCGACCCAGACCAGCCUUACAGUGACAUCAUAUAUAUUCAACUAAGUAAUCAUGAAUACAAGACAAAACUUGUCCAUACCAGCAUAGGAUGAAGAGUAGUAUCAUCCAGUGCAAUCAUAUAAUAAUGUGGACACAAUUAACCAUCAAUCAGCCCAGGACGAAACUAAUAAGUCAUGUGAAUUAUCUUGGCAGAUUCGAUGCUGGAGCAGGGGGCGUAGGUAUUGCAGGAAGUGCAUAGAAUGAAAAAAUAUUUUAUUCUGCAUAAUAAUGCCUCAUUUGUAGGCACUUUCUGUUAAUGCAUAAAUAAUGCCUACUUUUUAGGCACUUUUAUUUUUUAGCCGUUAUCUAUUCUGUUACAUGAGUGCUAUUUAAUAGCCUCUUUAAUUUAAUAAAUGUACUCAGUUGGCAAGAGUAGCAUUAUACCUUUUUAUUCUUUUCAAACUGGUAUCAGAGCUCCUAGUGGGCCUGAUACAGAAGCUGCAGCUUACGAAGAUGAAUAAUGACAAAUUUUCCUCAAAAAGUCCUUACUUUGACGGUCAACAUUAUGAUCAUUGGAGUGAAUUGAUGGAGAAUUUUUUAUGUGCCAAGGGUCUCUGGAAUCUGAUUAAAAAUGGUGUUGAGGAGCCUGUGGAGGGUAUUGUUCUGUCUAGUGAAGAAUCAGAGCAGUUGGAGAAAUCUAGAAUUGAAGAUCACAAAGUCAAACAUUACCUCUUCAGGGCCAUUGAUAGAUCAAUUUUCGAACAAAUUCUGGAUAGGAGCACAUCUCAGAUGGUUUGGGAUUCUUUGAAAAGAAAAUAUGGAGGAAAUGAUCGUGUGAAGAAAUCUGAGAAGGGAGUUUGAGUUGCUUGAAAUGACAGAAAUAGAAACCAUCACAGAAUAUUUUGCUAGAGUCAUGGCAGUGGCAAAAAAAAUGAGAAGCAAUGGAGAACUUAUGUCUGAUUCAAAGGUGGUUGAAAAAAUACUUUGAACGUUGACACCACGUUUCACCUAUAUCGUGGUUUCAAUCGAAGAGUCAAAGGACACAGAGACAAUGUCUAUUGAUGAACUUCAAAGCUCCUUGGUAGUCCAUGAGCAAAAAUUUAAAAAGGUCUACCAAGAUAAUGAACAAGUACUCACAUCAGAAAGCAGUAGAAGAAGAGGAAGAGGAACAUAUCGCGGUCGUGGACGGGGAAGAGGAAGACAAUUUUCUUCAAAAGCCAUUGUGGAAUGUUUCAAGUGCCACCACUUGGGACAUUUUCAGUAUGAAUGUCCUCUAUGGAACAAAGGAGAAGCAAAUUAUGCAGAGUUAGAUGAAACAGAAGAGCUUCUUCUGCUGUAGAAAAGGAAUCCAAAAGGAGUGAUGCAUGGUUUUUGGAUUCAGGGUGUUCUAAUCAUAUGUGUCAGGAUAAAGGUAUGUUUGUAGAAUUGGCAUAUGGAGAUCAACAUUUUGUCAAAUGUGGAAACAACUCUCAUAUGACUGUCCUUGGAAUAGGAAGUGUCAGAUUGACUUUUAAUGGCACAACCUUCCUUCUUCAUGAUGUAUACUAUGUCCCAGAGCUUCAAAAAAAUUUGUUAAGCAUGGGACAAUUACAAGAAAAGGGCCUUGCUAUCCUUAUACAAAAAGGAACAUGCAAAAUCUAUCAUCCGUCUAAAGGUUUGAUUGCAUAUACAAAAAUGAGCAACAACCGUAUGUUCAUUCUCUUCAAUGAAAGAUCUAUCACCCUACCCAUUGAAGAAUGUACCUCCUCUGACCUCACUUACCUUUGGCAUCAAAGGUUUGGCCACUUAAACUACAAAGGCUUGAAGACACUACAAACACGACAAAUGGUUCAUAGGCCGCCUGAACUCAGCGACUCUAGUAUCAUGUGUGUUGACUGCUUCACUAGCAAACAACAUCGUAAUCCAAUUCCUAAGACAAGUAAAUGGCACGCUAGCAAGGUCUUGGAACUGAUACAUGCAGAUAUUUGCGGUCCAAUAGAACCCAUUUCAAAUAGUGGAAAAAGGUAUUUUUUAAGCUUUGUUGAUGAUUAUAGCCGUAAAGGUUGGGUAUAUUUGCUCUCCGAAAAAUCUGAAGCUUUGGAGUGUUUCAAAUCAUACAAGAAAAUGGUGGAAAAGGAAGUUGAAGCAUCCAUCAAAUGCUUACGAACGGAUAGAGGAGGGGAGUUUAACUCUCUUCAGUUCAAGCUAUUUUGUGAAGAACAUGGAAUAAAAAGGCAACUUACCACAGCUUAUACACUGCAUCAAAACGGAGUUGCAGAACGCAAAAACAGAACUGUUAUGAAUAUGGUACGUUGUUUGCUCUCUGCCAGAAAGGUUCCCAAGUUAUUUUGGCCUGAAGCUGUAAACUGGACAUUUAUUUAUUGAAUCGAUGUCCAACGCAUGCUGUGAGGAACAUCACUCCACAAGAAGCUUGGAGUGGAAUUAAACCUUCAAUAAACCAUCUUCGAGUUUGGGGAUGCCUGGCUCAUGUGCACAUACCAGAGGCAAAAAGAGGUAAGCUUGAUGAUAAAAGUUUUCCUUGUAUUUUAUUGGGUGUUAGUGAAGAGUCCAAGGGUUAUCGUCUAUUUAAUCCUAAGACAAAGAGGAUUGUUAUUAGUAAAGACGUUAUAUUUGAAGAAGAGAAGAGUUGGGAUUGGGGUCCAAAUUAUAAAGAGCAAAUAGAAACUGAGUUGUUGUGGGGUGAUGAUGAUAAGUUACAUAUUGAUGAAUUUGAAGAAAAUAUUGAAGUUGAUAGUGAUGGUGCGAAUAGUGAACAUAAUGAAAGCGUCAUUCAAAAUGAAGCAACAAUGAAUUCACAGGAACACAUAAUUCAAGGGAGAGAAAGAAGAAAGCCAAGCUGGAUGGAAGACUUUGUUACUGGAGAAGGAUUAAGUGAAGAAGAUGAAGCUGAGAUAGCCUAUAUAAUACAAGAUGUCACAAGUGAAGAUCUAAUUUUAUUUGAGGAAGCUGUUAAAAAAAGAAAAUAUACUCGCUUUCACAAAUUCUGAUUAGGAAGAAGAUGAGAAUGGUUGAUUUAUUGAAAUAAACUGACAUGCUGGAAGUCAGUUUAAGGGAGGGAAUGAAGAGAUAUUUUAUUCUGCAUAAUAAUGCCUCAUUUGUAGGCACUUUCUGUUAAUGUAAAAAUAAUGCCUACUUUCUAGGCACUUUUAUUUUUUAGCCGUUAUCUAUUCUGUUACAUGAGUGUUAUUUAAUAGCCUCUUUAAUUUAAUAAAUGUACUCAGUUGACAAGAGUAGCAUUAUACUUUAUUCUUUUCAUAGAACAAUGGUUCAAUGCAGAUAAAGCAAUAAGCGUGAAAGGGGGUUUUACCAGGCAGAUUAUCACAAGAGACCACUGCUUCAAUUACAAAAUCUAGGUGGUUACCAUUAUUUACACACAAUUUGCGUUACAUUGAUAACUUAUAGUCACAAUUACAGUGCCUUUUGUUGAUAAUUCAUUAGUAUUUUGGACGGCAAAUUUCCCAACCACCUUAAUGUUUGAAUUAUCAACAAAAAUUUAUCAAUUGAUUCGAGAUUAUCGAUAUUUAUUAACGGAUGUUUAUAUUUAUUAAUAAUUUUUACCGACAAAUGUUUAUAUUAGUUAAUAAAAUUUAUUGGUAGAUAUUUAUAUUGGUUAAUAAAGUUUACUAACAAGUUUUUAUUACUAUUGACAAAUUAUGACAGUAAAUAUUAUGAUUACCUUGUAGUGAUAAAUAGAUUAUGGUUGAAGUCGAUUGUUACUCUAAUUUACAUUUGACCAUAUGGUUGCAAAGAAGCCAUCAACUCAUGCUUUUGGUUUUUGCAUUGUCAACUCUAUCCUAGAUUCUCUCAUACAGAUUUUAUGUAAAAAUUCAAAGAAUUGGAGUUUAUAGUCAAUUCGUGAAUUCCUAAGUUUCCUUAAAUUUCAUGCAUCAAUAACUUUAUUUUAUAGAAAAUCUAACUCAACAAUUGACAGAAUGUGGUCUCAACGUGUCAGAAAGUCCAGACCCUCCUACGAACUUUUUACCAAAUAUUUAGAUUCCAUUGUAUGUAUAUCUAGUAUUUUCUCUACAUUUAAGUUUUUGGUUAGUUAAUUAUAAGCCAAAUUCAAUUGUAUAAUCCAAUUAUAUAUGUGGCCUGUUUUCAUAUAUAUAUAUUGGAAGAGAUCUAAGUACAGAAGGAAAAUAAGUCAAUGAUUCAAAAGUUGAAUAUUAUAUAUAGCUAUCUAUAAGAAAAUACGGAUUUGAAAAUAAAUAUAGUCAAUGGGAACGAGUGGUGAUGCCCAGUCAUGCCUGUUGAUUGGACCAUCAAUCCCAGAAUUAGAAGUAUAUAGAGAGAGAGAGACUGGUUCCAUAUAUUUGACGACUUCAAACAGUCCUACGUAUGUUUUACUUUUGUUCCAUCAGUCUCUACCUUUUCCCUAUAAAUUCCCAUUUCCAUGAAACCAAUAUCAUAACCUUCUCUUCUGCAUUAAUUAUUUCUUACUUCAAUUCAAUCUCAUUCAUUCUAAUAAUGAGUCUUCUUCCUCCUUCCUCCAUGCAAUCAUCCAACAACACCAUGCAAAUUUCUAUACCCAUCACCCAAAGAAGAGGGAUUACUGUUCUACAACCCAAAACAAUACUCAGCGGAGGAAGAUCACCUCUUCCACANACAUAUCAAUCCCCAACACCCAUUCAUAUGCUAUCAAAAUCAAANNACAAAGGAGACACAGGAAAAGGCCCNAAAACAACGUAGAUNCCACCACGCUACCAAUACUUGUUUCUUUCUUUUAUUUCUAUGUUUUUCCUCUUUAUCUCAUAAACUGCUGUAAUCAUCCAAUUAAUGAUGAAAGUUUUCAGUUGCAGUAUUCUUUUUUUCUGUGUGUUCUAUAUCAGAGCUAAUCAAUUGUUUAAAAUACACACUCUUAGCUGUUAAACAUGAUAACUUCGAAUGUUGUUAUCAAUUUGAUCGGUUAAGAAGUAGAUUAAGCUUCAGAGAACACAACCAUCGACACCAUAAAUGCAGUGAAGAACUGGAGUAUUAGAAUAUUAUAUUUGCAUUAUAAUUUGUUUCAGUCUUUCCCAAAAUAGAAUAUUAGAUAUUUUACUGUUUUUUGUUAUCUCUGAUGUCGUUAUCUUCAGUUUUUUAGUACAGUUUUUUAAUUGAACCUCAAUUCUGCAUUUUUGCGUGUGAAGGCAUACAUAAUAGAGCAAGAAGGAAUAAAAGUUUACUUAUGUAUUAUAUUUGAUUGACAAUACUCAGC